CUUCGAAGCGGUGUGCCGUAAAGUGGUGAAUAAUGUGCAUGGUUUGCAUUUUAAUUAUGCGUACUGUUUAUUUUUCACGCACAUACUCACUUAUGCAAAUGUGCAACGAUUACGAUGACGAUUGAUUGACAGUGGGUCACUGACGCCGAUACUACAAUGCCCGCCGAUUGAGAAGCCCCGCUGCGACCUUCCUAGAGGAAUUAAGUGUACAUCCGC